rnacentral:lncRNA from 15 species
CCACACAUAUAAAUACCGCUGCUCCGUCCAUCACGAGGGAGGAACAGUGGAGGCCCAAAGAGAACAAGAGGUUCCAGGUUCUGUCCCUCAUUGGCAGGUGAAGCUGCUCUGUCUGAUGUACACAGUGCUGAUAGUGAAGAGUCUGGUGUACUGCUGUGGACUCUCUCUGCUGAUGAUCCUCAGAAACAAGGGACCGUCCACCAACUGCACACAUGUUGACUGACUGUUUUCUGCUUUCCAUCAAAUCUCAUUAGUUGAUCCAGUUUAUCCCUUUGAUCAGCAGUCAGUUAAAUUCUGACAAUUUGCUAUUGGUUAUAUAAUGUAGCUUUUAAUACACAGGUUAGAUCCAGUCAUUCUAAAAUUAUGAAUAUACAGUAUACACAUAUGUAUUUGCAGUUACUAGGUGAGUGAAUUCUCUCUGAAUUGUGAUUUUGAUCUUCUGGUUUAGUUUUGCUUUUAAUCCUGACUCAAGUAGUAAUACAAAAGCUGUAUCAUUAGCUAUCUGAUAGAUAUUUUACUGUUCAUAGUAUUUCUCUAAGUCUUUUCUGUCUUCUGUUCUUGUUUUAUGAAUUUCAAUUUGGCUUUGUAGCAAAAAAUCAAAAAUACAUGUUCAUUGGCUUUAGUGCUGAGCCCCUUUUAUAAUUGUGUCAGUGUGGAUGUAAAACUCUACGCUAAAUGGUUUGGUAUAGUUUCUGAUUAUUCCUAAACUAAUAAUGUAUAUUUAUGUAAUACAUUUCAAGACUCAAUCACAAAACUUCACAAAGAAACACAAAAAUUAUACAUUGUAGAAAAAAUGUAAUUAAAGACAACUUUCACAGUGAGUACUGAGAGCUGAAAUCAAACUGAAGUUCCUGGAAUGAUUCUUUAACCAGAGUCGAUGGUUGUAACUGUCAUUGUGUUAUUAAUGUGAAAAAGUGCAGCUAACGGUGAGGAGGCUGCAGAGAGGAAACCCACACAGCCCGUCUGCUGCAGGAAAGGAAGUGUUGAUUCGCUGUCAACAGUUUUUUAUGAGUCCUAAUAACCACUGAGAACAGAAUCAUAUCUGCUGCUGUACACACUCAUGAACUCCUCUCCCUCUCUGUAGUUGUUUGUCUUUUCUCAGGUUGUCUGUUGUUCUGUAAAUUCAAAAAUCUUUUUUGCUAAAAUAUUGUUUCAUGAAAAUAUUUUCUUCAGUCUUCUUAAAAUAGAAUAACUCUGUCAAACCAAACCAGACAAAUGUGAAUCUGUCUUAAAAAGUAAUGUAACACAUACCACAACAAUCUAUUCUAGGAUCCUUAUUAUUUCUUUUUCAUAGGAAUGAUUUUUCAUGUUUUCCUUUUUUGUUGCUGCAGUCUUGACGUACACAAUCUAAUAAAUGAAAUCAAAUGAAAAAUUGCUGGGAUGCAAAAUGGUUUCUCCUGUUGUCUGUAAGCCUUUUUCCACUGAGCCCUCCACCCACACAAAGCUGAACUGAGCCUAGAGACAAACAAUGACCACCCACCUGGAGGUCACGUAAACAUAAUGAAGUAUGUCCAUCAUAUUUUUAUUUUCCUUUUUUUGUAGUUGCUUUUAGUUAUUUAAUACAUAUAACAUAUAAAGAGAAAACAAACCAAACAAGACGCAUCGUUCCUAUGAGAAGCUGAAGAUAUAAAAUGUGGGUUACCACAAGGUUAUAUUCUAGGAAAAUUAUUGUUUCUUAUUCAUUUAACUGAUUUUUCAUGAAUAUGUAAGCUUUCUUUUCCUUUAUUUAUAUUCCAUUUCAUCACAUACUGAUGUACACAUUCUACUGUCAGAAGGGAAAAGAAUGUUUCUUGUUUAUUAACUUCAUAUUAUUCCAUGA